CGCUAUCUACUUAUAUAACAAGGAAGUUUUCACAUUACACACAUAUAUGAAUGCAUCUUAUAAAAUGAUCAAGAAUUUUUUUGUACACCAUACAUACACUUUAAUUUUAUAUGAAUCUUACCAUGGGAUGAUAUACUAAAUCACUAUUUAGUAGUGGUAUGGGGGAGGUGGAGAUGAAUACUUGUAUGGUUUCUUAGGUGUUGGUGGAGGUGAAGGGUACUUGUAUGGAGGUGGAGGUGACUUGUACUUGUAAUCUGGUGGAGGAGGAGACUUGUACUUGUACACUGGGGGUGGUGGAGAUGGGUACUUGUAAGGUGGUGGUGGAGGAGAUGGGUACUUGUAUGGUGGGGGUGGUGAUUUGUACUUGUAAAUUGGAGGUGGAGGAGAUGGGUAUUUGUAGGGCUUUUUAGGUGGUGGUGGAGGAGAAGGGUACUUGUAGGGUGGUGGUGGUGACUUGUAUUUGUAAACUGGUGGUGGUGGUGGUGAUGGGUAUUUGUAGGGCUUCUCAGGUGGUGGUGGUGGUGGGGAUUUGUACUUGUAAACUGGUGGUGGUGGUGAUUUAUAUUUGUAGGGUUUCUCUGGUGGUGGAGGAGAUGAAUAGUCGUACUUGUCAUCAGCUGAGGUUUGAGAUGGCAAGCUUAGAGAGACUAUUAUUGCCAAUACAAGAGUAAGUGUAGCAUAGGCCAUUAGAGACCCCAUUUUCUCUCAAACUUCAAAAGGGGUUUUGGUUAUGCUGUUGGGAAUGGCAGUGCCCCCCCUUUAUAUAGUUUCUUUCACCACAUUAACACCACUAAUGUCUAAUUAAUCAUAUUUAAAGGUGUACAGUGAUUUCGAUAUAAUCAAAUUCGAAAAUCAGCCUCGGACACUCUAAGUCAAGUACACUUUAGAUCUUUUCAAUUUGAAAAAUCAUCCUGGACGAUCGAAGGGUAUAGACACUCACAGAAAGUAGAAGAAAAUAAAAUAAUGAUAUAAUUAGUAAUAUAAUAGGAUAAGAAAAGACCACUAUAAAGAAAUCAAAAGUGUCAAAUAGAAAUGUUUAAUUAUACGAUUUGAGUUCCUAAAAAUAAAGAUGCAUUCAAAUUUACCUUAUUGAAAUCUCUAAAUGAAUUUAAUUUUAUACAUUAUCAAAGUAAAGUAAAAAAAAGUUUGUUUUAUAAAAUACUUAGAAAUUAUUAUUGGUAUAUAUCUUUUAAGGUGAUUGUUAUAAAAGUCUUAAGAAAUUAUUAUUAUAUAUAAAUUCGUAUAAGAUUAAUGUAGUGGUUAAGGCUUCGAUAUGUUCAUAUUGAUGAAGGGAAUGAUUUAUUUAAUAGAUGAAUUUGUGUUUAUUUUUUCAUAUAUAAAAUUUUUUAAGAUCAAUGAUAGACACACAUCAUGAGUAAGAUUAACAUUUGAUCCAAUGGAUUAAAAGACAGUCGUGAUUUUUAACUCAGGAUUGAAAAAACCAUGAAAUUGAUAUAGUGAUGUAAGAUUUUAUUACAUUGACAUAUAUGAAAUGAUCUAUUUAGAGGGAAAAACCAUAUUCAAUUCUCUCCAUGUGCAAAAUUCCUUUGUACCAAUGGUAGUCAUGCAGUGUCAUCGUGAUCUCUAACCUAUUAGGUCUGGACGAUCAUACAUCUCAUCUAUCAUAGAUUUUGAUGUAUAAUAUAAGUAUAAAUUAUUGAUAUUAUAAUGAGUUUUUAAAUGGUGAGUAGAAUUAUUAUGUUAAAAGAAUAUCAUCCACAACUAUAUAGAGAAUGUUUUGUUUCAACCUAGCCUCCAGAACAUUAUAUUUAGUGAGUUUUCACUUUUGUGCAAAACAACAUAAUAUAAUGUCAUAAGAUAAAUUUGUACAUUUAGUCUCAAGGAUUUAGUAUUGCAAAAAGGGAAGUCCAUAUAUAUUGUUUUAUUCAAAUUCCAUUUGUUUUUAUUACGUGUAAAUAACUAAUAUUUGAAUUCAAGAAAAAAGACAACAUAAAAGAGUCUAUAAGACCUCCAAGGAGUAUCCCCUAGAAAAUCGCUUUCACAAAAGUCAAAAAACAUAUGAUGUUUCCUGCACUUCAUAUAAAUACUCGUCAUUUAAAGCUUGAUAUGUCGACCAACUUCUCUAUGUGAGAGAACGAUCCUUUCAAGAUAAGGAAACAAAUCCCACAAUGAAUAUCUCACUAAAGUUUAUAAAAGGAUGUCUCCUUCAAUGAAAUAGAAAACUUAAAAACAAGAAAGAAAAAAAAAAGAACAAGAGCACAAGAAAUAUUUAAAGAGAAACUCCAUUAUUCACACAAAUUUUACAUUAUUAUUCUUUGCAAAGCAAAGUAGUUCGUAUUUGUGUCUAAGUGUAUGUUUACUCUUUGAGUGUUAAGAGUACUUGUAUUUAAUCAAACUUUCGUUUGUAAAAAUCAAGAGUAGCUUUGUUAAAAAAUAUUUGGGUUUUUAGAUUUGGGGUCUAAGAAGAUACUAGAAGUGGUAUCAAAAACACUUGUAAAGUCAAGAGUGACAAGUUAAAAUACUUGUUUGUAAUAAAUUAUUGAUUAGUGAAAUCAUUUACUAAUAAAUAAAGGAGAAAUCCAUGUAACUCAAGUUGAGCAACCAGCAUAAAUCAAAUUGUUUUACUUCUCUCCAUAUUACUUUAUUAAGUAUUGUUAUUAUCUUUUUCUAACAUCAUUUUACAUCAAAUGCUUAUUUAAAAAACCAGUUUAAGAAACUCUUAUUUGUCACUUGACGAACACUUUGUUCAUUUUCUACAAUCUAUUUAUUAUUAGCACACGAUCAGUGUUUUUCUUUAUUUUAUCCAUAUUAUCUUUGUUAUUGUUAAAUUUUUUAUUUUUAAUAAACAUAUUAUUCAACCCAUUUUUGAUGUGUUUCUUAUAAUUUGAUAAUUGAGGAAAAAAAUAUUAUUAUAUAUAACUAUUAUAAUCCGACAAUUGUAUAUAAAAUUUGAGGACUAAAAUGAACAAUUAUCCACAUUUAGAGACUAAAAAAACUUUAAGUUUAACAACUAAAAAAAAUAUAAACCCCAAAUUAAGGAAUAACAUCGUAACCAAACCUUUUUUUAGUUUUUUUAUCAUUGACCUACUCAGUAAUGCUUGUCAUUGAAUAUUAUUGCCUUUAUAUUUAUAGUGAUUUUACUUAUAAUAUGUAAAUACACAUAUAUAUUUGAUGAUAAAAUUAAAAAAUAUUAAUCAUCUGCUAAUUAUAUUAAAUUGCACAAAGACAUUUGAAAAGUAUCCAUAAAAGAUAUAAAAGUAUCCUUAAUAAAUGAUCAAAUUUUGUGUUUGAUUUCUAUUAAAAAAAUUAGUCUUUGGUCUCUGAUAAGUUUUUUUUUUUACCUUAAAUGACAAUCUAAAUCACUUUACUUAACUAUUUAAAGUUUUAUCUAAACAAAUUUAGAGACCAAAAAUAUUCUAAAAUUUAUCAAGGAGUAAAGACUAAAAACCAUUUAUAAGGAUUAAAUGUAAAAUUCGAUCAUUUAUCUAAAUAUCAAAAAAUAUAUUUAAAUAUUUAAUUAAUUAUUACAAUUUAUAUCCAAUAUAAAAAUCCAAUGCAUCCCUCGCGAAAAAAGUUAGUAUGAUCAUAUUAUAUUGCGUGAGUUUGUUUAACUUAAAAAACAUAACUUUAAAAUUAAUAUUUAAAUUUUUGUAAAGAAGCAAAUAGAUUUUCUUCUUAAUAAGCAUAAUUUUUAUUUAAAUUAAAAAUAGUUUAAACAAAUACAAUAGGAAAUAAAAAAAAACUGUUUAUUUUAUUAAAAUAAAUAUUUUUUAAACAUAUAAGUUUAAACAAACCAGUCCAUUACAAUAUUCAAUAAUUAAAUUAUUGAAAAUAUUUCAUAUAUAUUAAUUAGACUUUCAUCUUGUAACCAGCGCGUUAAUUAUCGUCAAUGGACUAUUGAGAUAAAAUUAUAAUGUUGAUUAUAUUGAAAAAUAAUUCCAAAAAGUAUCAACAAUAUGUGAGUUUUAUUCUUGUUUGGUAGAAAAACAACAAGAAAGAUAUAGUAUGAAUAUAAGAUUUGAUGUGUAGAAAAAGUUGCAUUGUUUAUUUUUCGUGUGUUUGGCAACCAUUGUAGACUUUGGAUCAGAGACUGCAUUCUAAUUGAGCUGCAGAAUAGCCACUCAGCUGGUAAUGUUGACAUUAACCUUAUUUUCUUUCUAGAAAAAGACACCAACCUUAUUUAACUAUUUAGGUUUUGUACUUUGUGAGCAAUGUUCAAACAAAAAGUCUUCGAUCCAUAACAAGAGUUUGUAAUUUGUGUUACUUUGCGUCUAUAUUCACUAGCAAUAAGCAAAAUUUGAAAAGCGAGUACAUUGUUGCCUAACCAAUUAAUUAAGGCAUUAUCAACCGAGAAAUCCUAAAAAUACAAUUUUUUAAUACACUUUAUUUAACUGAUUGAAACAUAUUAAAAAUGACAUUUUGUUGAUCUUACAUCAUACUUAAUAUUUGUCUUUCUAUUUUUAUAAUUUUUAAUAAAUUUUAACUAAUUUAAAAAUAUAUUUAAAAGAGAUUAUCAGAAAAUGUAAUUGAUCCUAACAAUCCUCUUACUCACUUUAUUCGAAAAAUGAGCCAUGAAUUUUGAGAAGUUUAAUUGGGUACUGUUGUGGAGUGUUGAUUGAAUACCCCAUCAUUGCAACUUAGGGUACUGAUUAGUUAUGUUCCCACUCAAAUCUCUGCCCUUGAAUUAAUUAUAUAUGCUACACUUUUGUAUAGGGUCUGGCUGCACAAAAGCGAGAGAAGAGAAAGAGAGAAAGCAACAGCUAGCUGAACUUGGAAAAAGAAGAAACGUCUGGCUGCUAUUGCCAUGGAAUGCACCUAAUUAUGUAACUGAAUGCAUAUUUGAGUUUAGGAUAUAUAUAUAUAUGCGCGCGCGCGUUCUUAGUGCUUCCAAGUAUUAUUGUUUAUCUGUCAUAUGAAGAUAAAAAAUAAGUGUCUGGGAAGAAUAUAUAAUAUGCAGGCCAUCUCCCAGCCAUCUACAAUAUUUUAUCUAUCAUUAAAGUUUUAUGGCUAUUGGCUUAAUAGUGCUAGAGAAUUAUUAAAUUGUAUGCAGUAACAUACAACAAGUCUUUUUGAUCUUCCUCUUCUCUUUUUCCUUAGACUAAAAAUUGUAUUUCAUUUUUCUUAAAUGAAUAUUAACCGUUUUAAAAACUAUUAGAAUUCACAUUUUAAAAUAUAACGGUUCGUUAGCACUUAAUGAAGUCAAGUUAAUAGUAGAAACCAAAAAUAAAAUUUAAAAUUUAUCAGAGAUGAAGAUAAAAAAAAUUAAUAAAGACCAAAAAUAAAAUUCGAUAAUUUAAAAUAGAUAAAAAUAUAUAUUUAAGUCUUUAUAUUUAUAGAAUGGUUAGGCUACUCUAGCUCCCAAACUAUCUAAGAUCCUGCUAGUUAUAUGAUCACGAUCAACACUUCAAUAAAGUGCUCCUUUGUGUUAAGUAUUUCUUUGGCACAAUGUUUUAAUAAAAUCUAGAGUUUCUAAAUUGCAAUGAUCAAAAUAAAUUAAGAUGGCAAUGCAAGCAACAGUUUGGUUUGCAGUGCUUUAAUUUAGGCAAUAAAGAGAGCUCAAAAUUCUCUUGUAUUCUCACAAACAUAAGAGAGGAGUUUGAUCAAAUUGAUGAAAUAAACAAGAUAUAUUCUUUGUAUUAGAUUAAUACUAUAUUUGGUUUUGAGUUUUGACUAUUUAUUCUCGUGUUGGUCUGUAAGCCCAAAAGAGUGGCUAGAUAUUAAGUAAUGUGUUGUAAUGGCAUCUGGAGUGCGGUUAUAAUGUUUUUAUAUUGGGCAACAAUGAUUUGCCUUUUUUGGUGAUUUUAUUUUCAUCUUUCAUGGAGAAUUAUGAUUUGAGAUGGGGCAAUUAGAUGGAGAAUUUUCAAUCCCAUAUGGUAAUGUACGUAGCUCAAAGCCAAGUUCGAAUUGGUCAACUAAGAUGGAAGGGUGUCAGAUGAAUAAUUUGGAGAAGGAGGGCCUGUUGUAUUGAUCUUAAGAGAAAUUUCAAAAGGCAAAGGCCUACAUUAUCUAAAAUAAUUUUGUUGCAUUAAUUUAUAUACUAACUUGUGAUAUUUACCUUUUAAGUAACUAAUAAGAGAUGAAAAUCUCACAUACAUAAACUUGGAUCAUGUGAACUUGUCUUAGUGCAAGGUGAAUUUUAGGUGCUUAUAUAUAAUAUGAUAUAUGAAGUCGUUAAUCCUUCGCUUUCCACUUUCUCUGUCUUACGAUGAUUCUCACCCUGACUUUCUUUCUCUCAAUAUACUACUACUAAUUUCUUUUUUUCGGCUAAUGAAUUAUUCAGUAAGGAUCUAAAAUGUAGUUUAACAUACUCUCUGGGAAUAGUUUUUUUUUUUUUUUGUUAGACACAGUCUCGGUAGUUUUCAUGUAGAUACGCUUUGUUUUUUUCUUAGUAUUUUUUAUACAGCUGUAAUAGUUUGUAAAUAAGUAGUGAAUAAUGUGUUGAUAAUCAACCAUCAUUUCGUUAAUACAUUAUUAAUUUAACCGUUUACUAAUGUAGAGCAUGUCAUUUUAAUUCCACAUUUGCAUUUCUUGCAUAUCGUUAUACUCGUGGCGGGUACGUAUACCGGAAUAUGUAGAAAUUUUAAAUGGGAAUUUCAAAGUAGAAAAAAAAUCAUGGUAUUUAUUUAUUAUAUAGUAAUAUAACUGGAGUAACAAGACAUGGAUCAGAUCUGAACAGUGCCUUAAAACUUUGAAUAUAUAAAGUACAAAAUAAAAAUAAUAAAGGGAAACCAAAUAAACACUACUGCUUUCACAAGUUCCACUCUUCACUGUAUAAACUGCAUGGUGCUUCUUCCCUCUCCUUUAUUUGCACAAGUUCUUCAGAUCCUAAAAAAUUACACGCAUGCACGUAAAUUAUUAGUUUGCCAUAACAUGUAAUAAAUUGAUACUGUUAUCUAGUACAAAGUAACGAAGAAGAUUUCAUAAUGCAUAUAUGAAUGCAUCCUAAAAUUAGCAAGAUUUUUUUUCCCUACACCCGUGUGCAUAUAUACUGUUAGAUAUGGAAAUUGAGAAACAAGAAAGUAAGGAAUAGAUCAUAAAGUAAUAAAUAUAAGAGGAAAGAAAGACAAAGGUUAAAAAAAAGUAUAAGAUAAAUGUAAAAUUUAGAAUAUAAAAAAACUAAUUAGGAUUCUUAUUAGAUCUUCUUAGCAGAACAAUAUUUAAGUAUCGAUUUAUAAGUCUCACUUUGACUUUGUAUAUGCUAUUUUUACACUUCUACAAAAGAGGGAGGAAGAGAAAAAACAAAAUGUGAGUUUUUCUUUUUUUGGAAUAAAAAAUAAAUGUACAAGGAAGGGUGAAGUUGUAACAGUGGGAAUUAUAUUUAUAACAUUAUAAUUUCAAUAAAUAAACAAAUGUUUUAUAUCAUAAUAGGAAACUUUGCUGGAUUUUAAAUUUUAAAUUAUAGUAGUAGUUAACUACAAUUACGAUUACAGUAUAUUAAUAUUCUAGAAUUUUAUGUAAUUGCAAUUUAAAACCUUGAUUGAAAUAAUUAAAAUGGACAAUAUAUAGAUUUUAUAUGAAGCUUACCAUGGGGCGCUAUACUAAAAUCACUAUCUAGUAGUGGUAUGGGGGAGGUGGUGAUGCAUAGACAUAGUGUGGAGGAGGUGGAGAUGGAUACUUGUAUGGUUUCUUAGGUGGUGGUGGAGGUGACUUGUAGUAGUAAGCUGGGGGUGGUGGAGAAGGGUACUUGUAUGGUGGAGGUGGAGGAGAAGAGUACUUGUAUGGAGGAGGAGGGGACUUGUACUUGUAUACUGGGGGUGGAGGAGAUGGGUAUUUGUAGGGUUUCUUAGGAGGUGGUGGAGGAGAAGGGUACUUGUAGGGUGGGGGUGGUGACUUGUAUUUGUAAACUGGUGGUGGUGGUGAUGGGUAUUUGUAGGGCUUCUUAGGUGGUGGUGGUGGGGACUUGUACUUGUAAACUGGUGGUGGUGGUGACUUGUAUUUGUAAACUGGAGGUGGGGGUGAUGGGUAUUUGUAGGGCUUUUUAGGUGGUGGUGGAGGAGAAGGGUACUUGUAGGGUGGUGGUGGUGACUUGUAUUUGUAAACUGGUGGUGGUGGUGAUGGGUAUUUGUAAGGCUUCUUAGGAGGUGGUGGAGGAGAUGAAUACUUGUAGGGUGGUGGUGGGGACUUGUACUUGUAAACUGGUGGUGGUGGAGAUGAAUAGUCGUACUUGUCAGCUGAGGCUUGAGAUGACAAGCUUAGAGAAACUAUUGCCAAUACAAGAGUGAGAGUAAGAGAGGCCAUUAGAGACCCCAUUUUCUCCCAACUUCAAAUAGGGUUU
rnacentral:lncRNA from 1 species